UACAGAGGUCCCAAGCGUUGUUCGGAUUUACUGGGCGUAAAGGGUGCGUAGGUGGCGAGGUAAGUUUGAUGUGAAAUCUCCGAGCUCAACUCGGAAACGGCAUUGAAUACUAUCCCGCUUGAGGGUCGGAGGGGAGACUGGAAUUCUCGGUGUAGCAGUGAAAUGCGUAGAUAUCGAGAGGAACACCAGUGGCGAAGGCGAGUCUCUGGACGACUCCUGACACUGAGGCACGAAAGCUGGGGAGCAAACAGG
rnacentral:rRNA from 1 species